AUUGAGUGUGAUCUUGGCUUGGAGUGAAUGCUGGUUUGACAUUUAAUACAUGCAAGUAAAUUGUUAUUAAAUAUUUUAUAACAAUUGCGUAGUGGUGAGUAAAGUUAAUUUAUGUAUAAACAUAUACUGAAAAUUUCUUGUAGAUUAGGAUAGACUGAAAUGUUAGCUUAUUAUCUGUAGUUGAAUUGAGAGAGGGGUCAACCACCUGAGGUAUGCAAAAACCUCGUCUUUGACAGCAGUAAAGAAUUUUUGGCAAUGUGUAAAUGCACGACCGAGUGAUCAAACGAUUUUUUUUUUUUCAUUUAUACUUAUUAUUAAGUUUAUAAACAAUUAAUCUAAAUAUAAUAAUGAUAUUACUUAGAUUAACAAGUCAUGGCUAAUACAUGUGCCAGCAGCCGCGGUAAUACAUGAGUGGCGCGCGUUACUCGCCUUGAUUGGGUGUUUAGGAUGCGUAGACUGAUAUUAAUCAAUAUUUAAACUAAAAUACUUUAGUAAGUAAUAAUAUUGUAAAUAUUCUUUGAGUUUAUUAUAAUUAUUUAACAAGUACUUAUUGCGAUAAAAUGCUUAAAAGUGCGUGUUUAGCAAAUAUAAUCUAUUAUAAUAAUCUGACGUUGAUGCAUGUAGGUAUGAGUUUCGAUUAGGACUUGUGACCCUAGUAGAUCAUACAGUCAAAUAUGGGUAUUAGUUCACGCGUAAAUACCCCACCUGGACAGUAUAGCUGCAAAGUUCAAACUCAACAGAAUUGACGGGGACUUAUACAAACGGUGGAACGUGUGGUUUAAUUUGAUAAUCCACAAAAAAUCUUACCAACACUAUAAUUUUAUAUUAUUAAUAAAAUUUUUAGUAUUGCAUGGCUGUCGUCAGUUCGUGUCUUGUGAUGUAAACUUAAGUGUUAAAACGAACGCAACCCCUAAGUCUGUUUGGUAUUAAUAUUCAGAUGGAGUCUACUAUAGAUGUAGUGGGGUAAAGUCAAGUCAUCAUGGUCUUUAUGUGUUGGGCUACACACGCGUUACAAUGGCAAAAACAAAAUGAAUAAAAGGUAACACUGAAAUAAAUCAUAAAAAAUUGCCGUGUUCAUAAUAUGUACUGAAACUUGAACAUAUUAAGUUGAAAUCGUAAGUAAUCGUAGAUAAGUAUGCUACGGUGAAUUUAAAGUUAAGUCCUGCACACACCGCCCAUCGCACUCGGAGAGUUCUUUGUUAUUGAAAAAUCUAAUUUAUUAUACUUUAAAUAUUAUUGAUGUUUUUUUUAUAUAAAAUUAAUUUGAGACUAUAUUGGGUAAUUUGAGUUAAGUUGACACAAGGUACCAGUAGGGGAACCUGUUGGUU
rnacentral:rRNA from 1 species